GUGCAUCCAUAGAUAGGUUCAUAACUAAUUGUUUCUCCAAACAACUUCUAGCAAUUAGGUUUUACCCCAGGCAUCCCUUCAGUAGGAGUGUGGUGCCUUCACUGAAAAUCUUGAUUAGAUCCAACCAUUAACAUGAUAAUAUCAAGUACAUCCAACAAAUGGAUGUCCAGAUUCGAGUGUGGCUCAGCCAACCUGAGCAUUG
rnacentral:lncRNA from 1 species